rnacentral:rRNA from 1 species
GAUGAACGCUGGCGGCGUGCCUAAUACAUGCAAGUCGAGCGAACAGACGAGGAGCUUGCUCCUCUGACGUUAGCGGCGGACGGGUGAGUAACACGUGGAUAACCUACCUAUAAGACUGGGAUAACUUCGGGAAACCGGAGCUAAUACCGGAUAAUAUAUUGAACCGCAUGGUUCAAUAGUGAAAGACGGUUUUGCUGUCACUUAUAGAUGGAUCCGCGCCGCAUUAGCUAGUUGGUAAGGUAACGGCUUACCAAGGCAACGAUGCGUAGCCGACCUGAGAGGGUGAUCGGCCACACUAGAACUGAGACACGGUCCAGACUCCUACGGGGGGCAGCAGUAGGGAAUCUUCCGCAAUGGGCGAAAGCCUGACGGAGCAACGCCGCGUGAGUGAUGAAGGUCUUCGGAUCGUAAAACUCUGUUAUUAGGGAAGAACAAAUGUGUAAGUAACUAUGCACGUCUUGACGGUACCUAAUCAGAAAGCCACGGCUAACUACGUG